GUUAAGCGACUAAGCGUACACGGUGGAUGCCCUGGCAGUCAGAGGCGAUGAAGGACGUGCUAAUCUGCGAUAAGCGUCGGUGAGGUGAUAUGAACCGUUAUAACCGGCGAUUUCCGAAUGGGGAAACCCAGUGUGUUUCGACACACUAUCAUUAACUGAAUCCAUAGGUUAAUGAGGCGAACCGGGGGAACUGAAACAUCUAAGUACCCCGAGGAAAAGAAAUCAACCGAGAUUCCCCCAGUAGCGGCGAGCGAACGGGGAGGAGCCCAGAGCCUGAAUCAGUGUGUGUGUUAGUGGAAGCGUCUGGAAAGGCGCGCGAUACAGGGUGACAGCCCCGUACACAAAAAUGCACAUACUGUGAGCUCGAUGAGUAGGGCGGGACACGUGGUAUCCUGUCUGAAUAUGGGGGGACCAUCCUCCAAGGCUAAAUACUCCUGACUGACCGA
rnacentral:rRNA from 1 species